UCGGGAAUUUUGGGCAAUGGGCGAAAGCCUGACCCAGCAACGCCGCGUGAAGGAUGAAGUAUUUCGGUAUGUAAACUUCGAAAGAAUAGGAAGAAUAAAUGACGGUACUAUUUAUAAGCUCCGGCUAACUACGUGCCAGCAGCCGCGGUAAUACGUAGGGAGCAAGCGUUGUUCGGAUUUACUGGGCGUAAAGGGCGCGUAGGCGGCGCGGUAAGUCACUUGUGAAAUCUCUGAGCUUAACUCAGAACGGCCAAGUGAUACUGCAGUGCUAGAGUGCAGAAAGGGCAAUCAGAAUUCUUGGUGUAGCGGUGAAAUGCGUAGAUAUCAAGAGGAAUACCUGAGGCGAAGGCGGGUUGCUAGGCUGACACUGACGCUGAGGCGCGAAAGCUAGGGGAGCAAACGGG
rnacentral:rRNA from 1 species